AAAACUGUUACCUCACGGCGACGCCGUAACAGAAACCGGGGCUUACGGUAACGAAACCCCG
rnacentral:sRNA from 1 species